rnacentral:lncRNA from 12 species
GGACCCACACAGCUCUGAGUGCACAUGUUUCUGGCAUCUGCAACAAUAUCCUAUUACUUCCUCUCUAUCAAUACUGUUUCACUGUCCGUGUGUUUAUGUCAUCAGGUCCCUUCUUCUGGAGAAUUUGGGGAAGGUUAACAUGAGACCUGGGAAGUCACAGGUCAAAGAGGGGAUGGAGCAGAGAAGAAGCCAGUUACAAGACCUUUCCUGGAAUAGAGAGGAAGGAAAGAGGAAGUGGAGCAGUAAACACAGGGGGUGAGAUGCCCCUGUUGGAUGUCCUUUUCAUGUUGCUGACUGCAUCAGAAAGAGAGCUGAUCCAUGUCUUUAUGAUGACGAUAUGGUAAAAGGAGGAUUUGCCCUUUUCUCCAUUUUAAAUCCAC